AGAGUUUGAUCCUGGCUCAGAUUGGACGCUGGCGGCAUGCUUUACACAUGCAAGUCGAACGGCAGCGCGGGGCAACCUGGCGGCGAGUGGCGAACGGGUGAGUAAUAUAUCGGAACGUACCCAAGAGUGGGGGAUAACGUAGCGAAAGUUACGCUAAUACCGCAUACGAUCUAAGGAUGAAAGCAGGGGAUCUUCGGACCUUGUGCUCCUGGAGCGGCCGAUAUCUGAUUAGCUAGUUGGUGAGGUAAAGGCUCACCAAGGCCACGAUCAGUAGCUGGUCUGAGAGGACGACCAGCCACACUGGAACUGAGGCACGGUCCAGACUCCUACGGGAGGCAGCAGUGGGGAAUUUUGGACAAUGGGCGAAAGCCUGAUCCAGCAAUGCCGCGUGAGUGAAGAAGGCCUUCGGGUUGUAAAGCUCUUUUGUCAGGGAAGAAACGGUGGAGGUUAAUACCUUCCGCUAAUGACGGUACCUGAAGAAUAAGCACCGGCUAACUCUGUGCCAGCAGCCGCGGUAAUACAGAGGGUGCGAGCGUUAAUCGGAUUUACUGGGCGUAAAGCGUGCGUAGGCGGCUUUUUAAGUCGGAUGUGAAAUCCCCGAGCUUAACUUGGGAAUUGCAUUUGAUACUGGGAAGCUAGAGUAUGGGAGAGGAUGGUAGAAUUCCAGGUGUAGCGGUGAAAUGCGCAGAGAUCUGGAGGAAUACCGAUGGCGAAGGCAGCCAUCUGGCCUAAUACUGACGCUGAGGUACGAAAGCAUGGGGAGCAAACAGGAUUAGAUACCCUGGUAGUCCAUGCCGUAAACGAUGUCUACUAGCCGUUGGGGCCUUUGAGGCUUUAGUGGCGCAGCUAACGCGAUAAGUAGACCGCCUGGGGAGUACGGUCGCAAGACUAAAACUCAAAUGAAUUGACGGGGGCCCGCACAAGCGGUGGAGCAUGUGGUUUAAUUCGAUGCAACGCGAAGAACCUUACCUGGCCUUGACAUACUAGAAACUUUCCAGAGAUGGAUUGGUGCCUUCGGGAAUCUAGAUACAGGUGCUGCAUGGCUGUCGUCAGCUCGUGUCGUGAGAUGUUGGGUUAAGUCCCGCAACGAGCGCAACCCUUGUCAUUAGUUGCUACAUUUAGUUGAGCACUCUAAUGAGACUGCCGGUGACAAACCGGAGGAAGGUGGGGAUGACGUCAAGUCCUCAUGGCCCUUAUGGGUAGGGCUUCACACGUCAUACAAUGGUACAUACAGAGGGCCGCCAACCCGCGAGGGGGAGCUAAUCCCAGAAAGUGUAUCGUAGUCCGGAUCGCAGUCUGCAACUCGACUGCGUGAAGUUGGAAUCGCUAGUAAUCGCGGAUCAGCAUGUCGCGGUGAAUACGUUCCCGGGUCUUGUACACACCGCCCGUCACACCAUGGGAGCGGGUUUUACCAGAAGUAGGUAGCUUAACCGCAAGGAGGGCGCUUACCACGGUAGGAUUCGUGACUGGGGUGAAGUCGUAACAAGGUAACC
rnacentral:rRNA from 1 species